CGUAUUCUUCCCGUGGCGUCGCUUUUCAUUUCCUUUCUCCUCUGCGCGGUACGAGUUGGAAUCCUCUCCCGCCCCUCCUUCCAUCCCCGGGGUCUCGUCUGGCUAUAAAUAAAAUGUUGGCUUGUCAGUGCGAGUCUCUGUUUACACGCAGCGCGGAGAGCAAGCAAGGGAGUGUUUACAGGGACAACAAAUCAUCCUGCGAGAGAAACGAGAAACAGCCAUCUGGUGCCCGCCUGGUGUUUUGCGGUCAUACUACAUCCGCUGCCUCUGCUUGCCUGCUUGCUUGCCCGUGCUCCAAAACCCGCCUUUUGCUGAGGGGAGAGAGAUUUGUUCGCUGUGAGGAGUCAGAAGGCUGCUAGCAGAGUAAACAGAGGAAAAUCCUUGCCAACACCUACAGAGGUGCCCUGCUGCAUGAAGGGGACGCGACUCAUACAAGAAAAAUACUAGUGCAGACUUCAUGCUGAUGAUCCAAGACUGACACGGGAAGCACCACGGCAGACCAGUGGUCGUCUUCUCUAUCCCACAAGGGUCAUCUAUCAAGGUCAAGGCAAACAUACGUACCUUCCAAUUUUGACAGUUCAGAACGCUCAGGACUCAAGAGGAUGAAAGGAGGGCAGUGGUGAAUACAUGUCUGGUACUGCGGACACUGUCUGAAUCUGGCUCGGUUUUUCUUGCUCUGCGGGGUAUUGGAUGCAUGUCUGUCCACCGUGAAGCAUCGGAGUUCUUAAUUGUAUGGAGGCCAAUGUUACACGUCGAAGCAGGUGGGGAGACAAGACGUUAGCAGCAAGCAAUUCCAGAUAGCCACAGUAUAGCAGGAAAGAAUACAGAGACAGCCGCCUGAUAUCAAUACGGUGGUUAGCAUUAAGGAUAUGACUAGAUAAGAAUUCCGUCGAUCUCGAAGCGAUACGUCCACCUGGCAGGAAGAGUUGGCCGCAAAAAACAAUACAGGGGAUCGCAAAAAGCUGUUCCAUCACGCAGCGGCUGAUCUGAAAAUUUUUGUCGGCUAGUCUGAUGAGAAAAGCAGCGGUGGCAGAUCGCAUUACUGCAGAGUAGGCAAGAAGUCUCAAGGGAACUUUUUGCACAUUCUGCAUACUUCCCCUAACUGCACUCGUAUAUUGAAGGCCAUGACAAGCAUCUAUUCAGUCCAUACGAUAGAUAAGUGAUUUUCGCUUCAGUUGUAGCUCUGACAUAUGUAAUCUAUUCACUGCAUGGCGGCAGUAGACACGGUAAAAUACCCUCGCUCACCGUCCCCUUCUGGUUGCGUUGAUUGCACUGUGGGGAGUGGGGAGGUUUAUGCAUAAGAGUCCAUUUAGUUGUGAUAUUUUUUUUCCUAUGCCGCUAUUUCCCAAAUGGUAAAAUUCCCCCCGAAAAUACAACCCACAAUAUCAUUACCAAAAAUUAAUUCCUCCGUGACAAAUUAGAUUAUACUAUGAUAGUUUAUUUUAUGUUCCGAUAAGCUAGAACAAUCUAUCAGGGUAAUUAUUUUGAGAAAAAUUUUUAUUGAUGAAUCUUCCUUGGUGAAACUUAUGUGGGUUAAAUCUACAUAGAAACCAGUUUCUUAUAGAUAAAUGCAUCCUUCGUGUCAAGGAGGACUGCUGUACCGUGUGUAAAUCUCGCAGACAGGAACACGUAACAUUACCACGUGUCUUUUAAGUGGAAUAAUGUCACCUCCUAAUAAAAGACUACAACUCAAAACACAAACCUUCUCAAAAGACAAUGGGGAAAAAAAAAAAAAAACGGACGGUAUGCACGACGAUGUAGCACAUAUACUUCCCCACUCACUAAGCACAUAAUCAGUACAGCCACACACAGUUACAUCCUGUGUCUUCACAGCUUGAGUUUAAUUCCCACACGAUGAAUUGCUGUCAAUCAUAGUCACAAAUAAAGCGUUCCGUAUUAGAAAGUGCGAUCAGAUAGUCACCGAAAAGGUUUGAUCAAUUAAACUGUUUUGAUCUCAGCUCAUCUAACGCGGGAUAUCUCAGCUAUUCUAAGAGACAAAAAAAAAAAAAGAAAAUAUUUGAAGAUAGUCUCAAACUCAACAGU